CAGCCCUCUUUUCCCCUUCCAUUCUUACAAAGAGUGACUUGACAUCUAAUUCUACAUCCAUCCUCAGCUACGUUAUCCAGUGAUAUGCUGAUGCAUUAUUCUUAUACUGCUCAAAUCCAGAGGAUGAUGUCUGAUGCCCUGAUUUGACGUUGCAGCCUUCAAAGGCCUUCAGUCUUUGAAUCAGUGGCAGGCGGGUCUCAAUGGAGAGAUACGUGUCUGAGGAAAGAAGCAGUGCUGAGGAGAGAAGUGGAGGCCAUCCAGAUUGGACAAUAAAAGGCGGCAGCUGCUCUGCCAUAGCAGAUGGGAGUCGUGCCGAUGCAGAGUUCAGUCGAAGUCUCAGAUGUGCCGCCAACUUCUGAUCUUAACUUGGUGAACGAUAAUAUGCCCUCUGGUGAUCAUUUCGGCAACUGUGUUUGUUUGUGGAAAUGUAGCAGCUGCCUUCAGAGCCAAACUUCUCAAAUGGUUAAUUGAUUAAUAGCAACCCAAUAAACAUCCUGCGUAGCACAUGAUAUGUGAAGUGUGGCGUAUUAAUCAUUGAGCACACUCAUAAGGAAACAUCACACUAGUACCAUCAAAACAUAGGUGAGGUGCCGUAAAUAAUUCUGGAUGAUUGCACUAAUUUACCCAAACUUUUAGAGUUAAAAUGAAUAUUUUACCAUUUACCUACCCUCACAUCAUUACAAAAGUAUUUACUUUUCUAUCUCAUCUGAAUUUUCCAGGAUGUCAAUACCAUUCUUCUCAUUUGUAAUUUGUAGUUUGUUUUGCAUAAAAGCAUCUGCUAAAUGAAUAAAUGUGAAUAUAAAAUGUAAAUGUGUGAAGAACAGACUGACUGCACUGAAAAUCCUCCCCAUCUGCUCAAAGCAUUCAAAAUCUAAUUUGCAGUUCAUACUCAUUCAUUCAAAACAUGUCACCUCGAGAUGUGCUGUGGCAGGUUUAAUGCCAGUCAUGUCAAAUGCAAUCGGCUCUUGCUUGUUUUGUGACACAAUUGCA